rnacentral:lncRNA from 1 species
UGGAGAUGGUAAAAUAUCAACCAUUCUUUGUGAGAGUGUGGAAGAUCAAUUUUGGAUCCAUUACAGCAGCUUCUUUUCCCUGCUCAGCUGUAAUCAGCCGUCCUUAGGAAGCGACAGGGAUGCAUCAUUCCAGACAGACCACAGCUUGCUGUUUUCUUUCAGAACUGCCAAGAGGUUUCUGUGAAUGAUCUCAGUCUGAACAUGAUUGCAAGCCUGGAUUUGCUGGUUAACACUGUGAAACAGCUAAUGACUGGAGUCUAUGAACCUCUGUGCAUUUAAGCUAGCCUCAUUUGUAGCUGCCAUCUAUGGACAUUCCAAAACAGCAAAGAGCUGAGACAGGGAGAAAGGGGGGGAGGAGGGAAGAUGGUGAAAAAGAGAAAGAACAUGAAUGAAUGAUGAGUUGCAGAUAUUUUGGGUCACCUUACACCAGGGCCAACUUUUAUUCAAGUAUGUCAUGCUGUUGAGUGAAGUUGAAGGAAAAAACAAAUAUUAAACUGAAAAAAGAACAAGUUGUAAUCAUGCAAUGAAAGCAAAUAAAUG